rnacentral:misc_RNA from 1 species
CAUGAUUUAACAGGGAGUGGAGGCUUCGGCCAAAGCUCUGUCUGAACCCAUGUCUUUUGCGUACUACUGUUUCCUCGGUGGGCUUGCCUGCCGAUAGGACAACCUUAAACUCUUUGCAAUUGCAAUCAGCGUCUGAAAAACUAUAAUAGUUA